GACGAACGCUGGCGGCGUGCUUAACACAUGCCAGUCGAACGGAAAGGCCCUGCUUGCAGGGUGCUCGAGUGGCGAACGGGUGAGUAACACGUGGGUGAUCUGCCCCUUACUUUGGGAUAAGCCUGGGAAACUGGGUCUAAUACUGGAUAGGACCAUGCUGUAGGUGGUGUGGUGGAAAGAUUAGUUUCGGUAAGGGAUGAGCUCGCGGCCUAUCAGCUUGUUGGUGGGGUAAUGGCCUACCAAGGCGUCGACGGGUAGCCGGCCUGAGAGGGUGGACGGCCACUUGGGACUGGGGAACCGGCCCAGACUCUUAGGGAGGGCAGCAGUGGGGAAUAUUGCACAAUGGGCGCAAGCCUGAGGCAGCGAGGCCGCGGGGGGGUUGACGGCCUUCGGGUUGUAACUCCUUUCAGCCAUGACGAAGCCCUUGUGGUGACGGUAGUGGUAGAAGAAGCACCGGCUAACUACGUG
rnacentral:rRNA from 1 species